rnacentral:rRNA from 1 species
UACGUAGGGGGCUAGCGUUGUCCGGAAUCAUUGGGCGUAAAGCGCGUGUAGGCGGUCCGGUAAGUCCGCUGUGAAAGUCGGGGGCUCAACCCUCGGAUGCCGGUGGAGUACUGUCGGGCUUGAGUACGGAAGAGGCGAGUGGAAUUCCUGGUGUAGCGGUGAAAUGCGGCAGAUAUCAGGAGGAACACCGAUGGCGAAGGCAGGUCUCUG